UACAGAGGGGGCUAGCGUUAUUCGGAAUUAUUGGGCGUAAAGGGCGCGUAGGCGGCCAUGCGUGUCUUCCGUGAAAUCCCUCGGCUUAACUGAGGACGUGCGGAAGAAACUGCAAGGCUCGAGUCCGGGAGAGGGGGGUGGAAUUCCCAGUGUAGCGGUGAAAUGCGUAGAUAUUGGGAGGAACACCGGUGGCGAAGGCGGCCCCCUGGACCGGUACUGACGCUGAGGCGCGAAAGCGUGGGGAGCAAACGGG
rnacentral:rRNA from 1 species